rnacentral:lncRNA from 1 species
GGCCUCGCUUCACCGGCUCGCUCCUGGGCUCUGAGGUUCGGAACAGAGCGCUGUCGCUCGUCUGAGCAGAAGAGGAGUUCGGAAUGCCGCAGCUCCGACAGGAACGGCGUCCGGGAGGAUGCCAAGCUGACAUUCGGCGACAGACAUUUGGCUCUUCCUCCUCCGUCUCUCGCGGUGACCCUCGGAGCACACAGUGCUGGGUGAACACUCACGGGAGAGGGGACGCCGGAGGGGAACUGAGGGAUGCUUGUGAACCGGGAGCUUCCCGGGGACCGUGGGACCGGGGACCCAAUUGACAGCCAUGCACGGCUGCGGGCCCCGCCCUGUAAGAUGGCGGCCGCCUCCACGGAGGGCCUGGAGCGGUCAGGCAGGAGUGAGGGGGAUCAGGCAGGACGGUUAGCGAGGACGGGGACAGACCGGGCGGGCACCAGGACCAGGGCGGCUGGUCUGGGAUGACGGAGACCGACCGACCGGGGGAGCACCGGGACCAGGGCAGCGGGUCCGGGAUGACGGAGACCGACCGACCGGGGGAGCACCGGGACCAGGGCAGCGGGUCCGGGAUGACGGAGACCGACCGACCGGGGGAGCACCGGGACCAGGGCGGCGGGUCCGGGAUGACCAGGACCCGGCAGGCACUCAGGCGCCAGCUCUGGUUCCCAGUCCGCUAGGAAGAAAUGCGGGGACUCGAGAGAGCGACGCCCAAGCGAACGGCUAGAUAAACAAGAAAAAGCCCGGCAGCUUUACUAACUACAUAAGUAAACAUUUCUUAGAGGAAAGAACAAUAUGUGGGAAAUAUUGCUAUUAUCUCCCGGCGCUGUUCCUUCGUCCGGAUUGUGGCCCGUACGUAUACCAGUGCACAGAUCACACACAGAAAGCAUCCUAAAUGAAGGGCAAAUGCCUAAACAGCGUUAACAAUUGUACUUUUUAAAUGCGCAUGUGCAUAUGUGCUAACGCACAUGGUUUUGGAUGUUUUGAAAGUCCUGAUAAAUACAUACUCAUAAACUGAGAUGCUCUUACCAUCUUAAAAUCUACUAAAAUGAUAUCUUUGGAUCUACUAAAUGUUUCAUAAAACCUUAAAAUGUUGUUUACAUAAAACAUUCUCUGGGGGCAUACGGUUUUAAAACGUGAUCAAACUACGAAAUUUAACAUUAGAUACAGAUACAUAGAUUUUUUAGUAAUGAUUUCCUUCCUAAGCAAAUUGUUAAUAUUCUGGACAAUACUAACAAUGACUUUGGGUGGCUCACAGUCAUCUGUAACUCCAGUUCUAGGAAAUCUGAUGCCCUCUUCUGGCCUCUGUGGGUUGCUAUGGGAUUUCUUUUUCAGGACUUAAUAAAUAAAUAAUAAUAAAUUAUUAUUAUUAUUAUAUGC